AACACACGAUCUAAGAAGUAUAAAACAUAAAAAUUAUGAAUAGCAAUCCGACGACGGCGGCGACGACGGCUGGUGCGGCGCUGCAGCUGCAAGAGGGAAUCAAUUUAUUGCUUUCUCGGUGGACUGCACUUCGGCCGUCGAGAACGAGUGGGGCGGCCACGGAUCUCUCCUGAAAUCGCAGCAACUCGGCGACGAUAUUUUUUGUCUUCUCACUCAGUCCAAAGAGGAAGUAUCUAUUUGCCAUGUGGACGACAUGCUUUACAAUUUCAUGGAUACUCUCAAUACUGAUAUAGACGGUGGCAGCAUCGAAGAGAUAAAUUGAUGGUAAUGCGUGAAGAAUGUUCAGAAGGUAACUUUGGCUCGAUAAGGAGUUUGUGGGAAACAUAUACUCCUAAUCUUUCUGUUGGGAAUCAGACACGUGUACGCAUCGGAAAAUAAAAAUUUUAUGCGAUUUAAACAACUUUAAUACACAUAAACACAUGCCCGA